GGCCCUAACCAAGACGAUGACGCAUAACUGGUUUGAGAGGAUGAUCAGUCACACUGGAACUGAGACACGGUCCAGACUCCUACGGGAGGCAGCAGUGGGGAAUAUUGCACAAUGGACGAAAGUCUGAUGCAGCAACGCCGCGUGGAGGAUGACACAUUUCGGUGCGUAAACUCCUUUUAUAUAAGAAGAUAAUGACGGUAUUAUAUGAAUAAGCACCGGCUAACUCCGUGCCAGCAGCCGCGGUAAUACGGAGGGUGCAAGCGUUACUCGGAAUCACUGGGCGUAAAGAGCGUGUAGGCGGAUUGAUAAGUUUGAAGUGAAAUCCUAUAGCUUAACUAUAGAACUGCUUUGAAAACUGUUAAUCUAGAAUGUGGGAGAGGUAGAUGGAAUUUCUGGUGUAGGGGUAAAAUCCGUAGAGAUCAGAAGGAAUACCGAUUGCGAAGGCGAUCUACUGGAACAAUAUUGACGCUGAGACGCGAAAGCGUGGGGAGCAAACAGGAUUAGAUACCCUGGUAGUCCACGCCCUAAACGAUGUACACUAGUUGUUGUGAGGCUCGACCUUGCAGUAAUGCAGUUAACACAUUAAGUGUACCGCCUGGGGAGUACGGUCGCAAGAUUAAAACUCAAAGGAAUAGACGGGGACCCGCACAAGCGGUGGAGCAUGUGGUUUAAUUCGACGAUACACGAAGAACCUUACCUGGACUUGACAUAGUAAGAAUGAUUUAGAGAUAGAUUAGUGUCUGCUUGCAGAAACUUGCAUACAGGUGCUGCACGGCUGUCGUCAGCUCGUGUCGUGAGAUGUUGGGUUAAGUCCCGCAACGAGCGCAACCCUCGUCCUUAGUUGCUAACAGUUCGGCUGAGAACUCUAAGGAGACUGCCUACGCAAGUAGGAGGAAGGUGAGGAUGACGUCAAGUCAUCAUGGCCCUUACGUCCAGGGCUACACACGUGCUACAAUGGGGUAUACAAAGAGCAGCAAUACGGUGACGUGGAGCAAAUCUCAAAAAUGCCUCCCAGUUCGGAUUGUAGUCUGCAACUCGACUACAUGAAGUUGGAAUCGCUAGUAAUCGUAGAUCAGCUAUGCUACGGUGAAUACGUUCCCGGGUCUUGUACUCACCGCCCCCU
rnacentral:rRNA from 2 species